CAGCAGCCACGGUAAUACGUAGGGUGCGAGCGUUAACCGGAAUUACUGGGCGUAAAGCGUGCGCAGGCGGUUCGUUAAGACAGAUGUGAAAUCCCCGGGCUUAACCUGGGAACUGCAUUUGUGACUGGCGAGCUAGAGUAUGGCAGAGGGGGGUAGAAUUCCACGUGUAGCAGUGAAAUGCGUAGAGAUGUGGAGGAAUACCGAUGGCGAAGGCAGCCCCCUGGGCCAAUACUGACGCUCAUGCACGAAAGCGUGGGGAGCAAACAGGAUUAGAUACCCCGGUAGUCCCUGUCUCUUAUAC
rnacentral:rRNA from 1 species